GUGCUCGCUUUGGCAGCACAUAUACUAAAAUUGGACGAUACCGAAGAGAUAAGCAUGGCCCCUGUGCAAGAAUGACUCGCAAAUUCGUGAAGCAUUCCAUAUUUUU